CGGAAUUAUUGGGCGUAAAGCGCACGUAGGCGGUUCGUUAAGUCAGAUGUGAAAGCCCCCGGCUCAACCGGGGAAGUGCAUCUGAAACUGGCGAGCUAGAGUACGAAAGAGGGUCGCGGAAUUCCCGGUGUAGAGGUGAAAUUCGUAGAUAUCGGGAGGAACACCGGUGGCGAAGGCGGCGACCUGGGUCGAUACUGACGCUGAGGUGCGAAAGCGUGGGGAGCAAACAGG
rnacentral:rRNA from 1 species